AGUGAACGCUGGCGGUAGGCCUAACACAUGCAAGUCGAACGGCAGCACAGUAAGAGCUUGCUCUUACGGGUGGCGAGUGGCGGACGGGUGAGGAAUACAUCGGACUCUACUUUUUCGUGGGGGAUAACGUAGGGAAAGUUACGCUAAUACCGCAUACGACCUACGGGUGAAAGCAGGGGAUCUUCGGACCUUGCGCGGAUGAAUGCGCCGCUGUGGGGUUAGUUAGUUGGCGGGGUAAGGGCCUACCAGGGCGCCGGUCCGUAGCCGGUUCGAGUGGGGGGUCGGCCACACUGGAACUGAGACACGACCCAGGCACUGAGGGGAGGCAGCGGUGGGUAAUGUAGGAAAAUGGGCGCAAGCCUGAUCCAUCCAUGCCGCGUGGAUGAAGAAAGCCUGCGUGUGGUAAAGCCCUUUUGUUGGGAAAGAAAGGCAGCAGGUUAAUACCCCGCUGUGCUACGGUACCCAAAAAAUAAGCACCGGCUAACUUCGUG
rnacentral:rRNA from 1 species